rfam:Ictidomys tridecemlineatus contig002907, whole genome shotgun sequence.
GGGGAGAUAGCUCAGUUGGUAGAGUGCUUGCCUUGUAUGCACUAGGGCCUGGGUUCAAUCCCCAGCACCA